rnacentral:rRNA from 1 species
GGGUCAGUAGGUUGGUCGUGCCACCGGUACGUACUGGUCUCACUGAUUCCUCCUUCCUGAAGAACCGUAGUGCCAUUAAUUUGGUGUUGCGGGGAAACAGGACUGCUACUUUGAAAAAAUUAGAGUGUUUAAAGCAAGCUAACGCUUGAAUACAUUAGCAUGGAAUAAUGAAAUAGGACGAUCGAUCCUAUUUUGUUGGUUUCUAGGAUUGACGUA